rnacentral:pre_miRNA from 1 species
AGCUGUUGACGAAGUAUCAAAAUAGUUAAAUGAUGAUAUAAAUUAUUUGGUCCCCGUCAACCAGCUGU